AUCCAGCUGACGAGUUCCGAAUAGGACGAAAUGUGCGUUCUGAAU
rnacentral:hammerhead_ribozyme from 1 species